GAGUUGAAUGCAAUGCAAAUCCUGCAAAUUCACCAACCUCAAUGAAGCUGUUCUCCUGAAGCACUAGGCCUACUGUCUGUAUCACAGAGGCAGGCAGAGUUCUAUCGGAUCACCAACAAGAACCUACUAGACAACUUUAGAGCAGCCAUUAAUCAGCACACUCUAGGACUGCUUGGACUCUAUCGGGCUAGGAGGCCAGCUUUUCCGUCUGAGAUGGAUCAACUCCUUAAGGGACUGGAUGAAGAGACCAAUGACAUCACAGCACACACAGGCUGCAGCCUUGAAGGGCCUUCCUUUGUAUAUCUGUGAAAGUCAUGAGAAGCUGUUCAGGAGUUGUCUGGAUACUGACCCAUAAGAGGAGCAGACAAAGCCUCAUUGUGGGGAUACUUACUAUGGAGGAUGAUCAAAGUACGGCUCCGGCAAGUUGCAAAUGUAGCUGUGGUUCUAGAAGAAGACAUCGUCUUACAAGACCUCCCUGACCUGCUAACGGCCUUUGCUUUGCUCUUUGGGCUGAUAUGCCUCAAACAUUCAGUUUCCCAAGGAACUGAGGUACGCCUUCGAAACAUUUCAGAAGGUGUUAAGUAAUCAAAUCUUGCUGUCCUUUCUAAGUAUUUAAGUAAAAAAAUUAGAAUAUGUUAACUGACAUCCACAACUACUAAUGUUCAGUAGGGCUGCACGAUUCAGAAAAUGUCACGAUUCAAUAUCAAUUUUCGUAGGGCUGUGUUCGAUUGAAGAAAUUCUUAGUCGACUAACAUUCAACUCAUUCAACUGUAUCGACUAAUCGAUUAGUUGAUUUAAUCGACGAUCUGUAAAUCUGAGUUUCUCCCAAAAGAGUCAUGCAAAAGGAUGCAUAUAUUGAAUAAGAUAAUGCCUCCUUUGCAUAUAUUAAACACCAACAUUUCAGAAAACGUGUAAUACAACAAAUAACUGCCUUAAUGAAAGUUAUUAAAGUAGAUUUCACGGUGAUAUCUAUUAGGUAAAAUGUCAACCCUUAAUUCUUGUGUUUACCAGAGAUGUGCUCGUACGUUUCUUGGAAAUAAGUCAUUCAGCA